rnacentral:tRNA from 1 species
GGAUGGCUUAGUGGUUAAGAGCACUGGCUGUUCUUUCAACAGACCUGGGUUCAAUUCCCAGCAUCCA